rnacentral:tRNA from 1 species
GGGCCUAUAGCUCAGCUGGCUAGAGCGUUCCCAUGGCAUGGGAAAGGUCAUGGGUUCAAAUCCCAUUAGGUCCA